rnacentral:lncRNA from 1 species
GGAGAAACACCAGGAAGUUGAAUAAAUCUCAUAGGAGUUGGGAUGAAGAAGUUAUCCCACUUUCUAAUCAGGUGAUUCCAGUUUCCCAGUUUGGGAAUAGGACAGCUUCUCCGUCGUUCCAAUCAAACCAGGAUGAAUCACUUUGUAAGAAGCUUGAUUUGGAUAUAUAAAGUGUUGGAGAAUCACCAGGAAGUUGAAUAAAUCUCAUAGGAGUUGGGAUGAAGAAGUUAUCCCACUUUCAAAUCAGGUNNNNNNNNNNNNNNNNNNNNNNNNNNNCCCAGGUGAUUCCAGUUUCCCAGUUUUAUCCCACUUUCAAAUCAGGUGAUUCCAGUUUCCCAGUUUUGGAAUAGGACAGCUUCUUCGUCAAUCCAAUCAAACCAGGAUGAAUCACUUUGUAAGAAGCUGUAUUUGGAUACAUAAAAUGGUGGGGAAACACCAGGAAGUUGAAUAAAUCUCAUAGGAGUUGGGAUUAAGAAGUUAUCCCACUUUAAAAUCAGGUGAUUCCAGUUUCCCAGUUUGGGAAUAGGACAGCUUCUUCGUCGUUCCAAUCAAACCAGGAUGAAUCACUUUGUAAGAAGCUUGAUUUGGAUACAUAAAGUGUUGGAGAAUCACCAGGAAGUUGAAUAAAUCUCAUAGGAGUUGGGAUGAAGAAGUUAUUCCACUUUCAAAUUAGGUGAUUCCAGUUUCCCAGUUUGGGAAUAGGACAGCUUCUUCGUCGUUCCAAUCAAACCAUGAUGAAUCACUUUGUAAGAAGCUUGAUUUUGAUACAUAAAAUGGUGGAGAAACACCAGGAAGUUGAAUAAAUCUCAUAGGAGUUGGGAUGAAGAAGUUAUCCCACUUUCUAAUCAGGUGAUUCCAGUUUUCCAGUUUGGGAAUAGGACAG